CACGUAGGGGGCGAGCGUUGUCCGGAUUUAUUGGGCGUAAAGAGCUCGUAGGCGGCCCUGUAAGUCAGUGCUGAAAUAUCCCAGCUUAACUGGGAGGGUGGCAUUGAUACUGCGGGGCUAGAGUACAGAUGAGGUAGGCGGAAUUGACGGUGUAGCGGUGAAAUGCUUAGAUAUCGUCAAGAACACCUAUAGCGAAGGCAGCUUACUAGGCUGUAACUGACGCUGAGGCACGAAAGUGUGGGGAUCAAACAGG
rnacentral:rRNA from 1 species